UCCCCCUUUCAGUUCUUUUGGUGCUUCGAAUUCAGCUUUCAAGAUUUGAAGAUCAGGUACCCCUGCUAAAUUAUCUUCCCUCUGCUUUCAAGAUUUGAAGAUCAGGAUUUGUGUUGAAUAUUAAAGAUAAGAGCCUUAAAGACCACACACGUACUUCAACGAACACUUUGAUCACUGUCGUCUCCACAUCUAUAAUAUAAAGGAGUAUAUGCAUGGACCAAGUCUUACCGAUAUUCUUGGAGAAUAUACCCUCAAUAUUCCGCACGUGUUUGGCCUUUGUGAACGUUAUGGAGAUCAUGGGAAGCUUGCACAUUUAGCAGAUAGUUAGUUAUCUAGUUAUUUCUAAUUUUAAAAGGGGAUAACAAGCUUGAGUUAGAACACAUUCAGCUAAGCUAGCAAAUACACAUACUCUCGAAACAGCUCUCAACAGUUCACUUGGCGAUUUCAUACAUUUUUACACUUUUGCACACUAGUGAUCUUUGUAAAAAGCUUGUUAUCAUCCCGAGUUGUAUCAAUCAUUUGUGUAAUUAUAGUUGGUGAUCGUUAGUUUCCAUCAUCCGAGGUUUUUUAUGCCGGAGAUCAACUCUUGAUCAAGGGCUUUU